rnacentral:rRNA from 1 species
AUGAACGCUAGCGACAGGCUUAACACAUGCAAGUCGAGGGGCAGCACAGGUAGCAAUACCGGGUGGCGACCGGCGCACGGGUGAGUAACGCGUAUGCAACUUACCUAUCAGAGGGGGAUAACCCGGCGAAAGUCGGACUAAUACCGCAUGAAGCAGGGGCCCCGCAUGGGGAUAUUUGCUAAAGAUUCAUCGCUGAUAGAUAGGCAUGCGUUCCAUUAGGCAGUUGGCGGGGUAACGGCCCACCAAACCGACGAUGGAUAGGGGUUCUGAGAGGAAGGUCCCCCACAUUGGUACUGAGACACGGACCAAACUCCUACGGGAGGCAGCAGUGAGGAAUAUUGGUCAAUGGCCGAGAGGCUGAACCAGCCAAGUCGCGUGAGGGAUGAAGGUUCUAUGGAUCGUAAACCUCUUUUAUAAGGGAAUAAAGUGCGGGACGUGUCCCGUUUUGUAUGUACCUUAUGAAUAAGGAUCGGCUAACUCCGUGCCAGCAGCCGCGGUAAUACGGAGGAUCCGAGCGUUAUCCGGAUUUAUUGGGUUUAAAGGGUGCGUAGGCGGCCUUUUAAGUCAGCGGUGAAAGUCUGUGGCUCAACCAUAGAAUUGCCGUUGAAACUGGGGGGCUUGAGUAUGUUUGAGGCAGGCGGAAUGCGUGGUGUAGCGGUGAAAUGCAUAGAUAUCACGCAGAACCCCGAUUGCGAAGGCAGCCUGCCAAGCCAUGACUGACGCUGAUGCACGAAAGCGUGGGGAUCAAACAGGAUUAGAUACCCUGGUAGUCCACGCAGUAAACGAUGAUCACUAGCUGUUUGCGAUACACUGUAAGCGGCACAGCGAAAGCGUUAAGUGAUCCACCUGGGGAGUACGCCGGCAACGGUGAAACUCAAAGGAAUUGACGGGGGCCCGCACAAGCGGAGGAACAUGUGGUUUAAUUCGAUGAUACGCGAGGAACCUUACCCGGGUUUGAACGCAUUCGGACCGAGGUGGAAACACCUUUUCUAGCAAUAGCCGUUUGCGAGGUGCUGCAUGGUUGUCGUCAGCUCGUGCCGUGAGGUGUCGGCUUAAGUGCCAUAACGAGCGCAACCCUUGUUGUCAGUUACUAACAGGUUCCGCUGAGGACUCUGACAAGACUGCCAUCGUAAGAUGUGAGGAAGGUGGGGAUGACGUCAAAUCAGCACGGCCCUUACAUCCGGGGCGACACACGUGUUACAAUGGCGUGGACAAAGGGAGGCCACCUGGCGACAGGGAGCGAAUCCCCAAACCACGUCUCAGUUCGGAUCGGAGUCUGCAACCCGACUCCGUGAAGCUGGAUUCGCUAGUAAUCGCGCAUCAGCCAUGGCGCGGUGAAUACGUUCCCGGGCCUUGUACACACCGCCCGUCAAGCCAUGGGAGCCGGGGGUACCUGAAGUCCGUAACCGCGAGGAUCGGCCUAGGGUAAAACUGGUGACUGGGGCU